rnacentral:sRNA from 1 species
GAGAAAAUAAUAUAAUAUUUCUAAGAGAAAGUUGAAUAGAUGGUGGCAAAUCUAUUUUGAAGGAGGUGGUGCCUAUGGCGUCACUGAAUUUAGAAAGGAUAGGCUAAAUGACAACAUUUGAAGUAAUUAUAGUCAUGAUAGCGUUUGGUGAAUUUACACUGAGCCUAAUCACUA